rnacentral:rRNA from 1 species
UACAGAGGUCCCAAGCGUUGUUCGGAUUCACUGGGCGUAAAGGGUGCGUAGGUGGUGAGAUAAGUCGGAUGUGAAAUCUCCAAGCUCAACUUGGAAACUGCAUUGGAAACUAUCUUGCUAGAGGGUUUGAGGGGGGACUGGAAUACUUGGUGUAGCAGUGAAAUGCGUAGAUAUCAAGUGGAACACCAGUGGCGAAGGCGAGUCCCUGGAAAAUACCUGACACUGAGGCACGAAAGCUAGGGGAGCAAACAGG